rnacentral:rRNA from 1 species
GAGUUUGAUCGUGGCUCAGGACGAACGCUGGCGGCGCGCUUAACACAUGCAAGUCGAACGGGCGCCUUCGGGCGUCAGUGGCGAACGGGUGCGUAACACGUGAGCAACCUGCCUGGAGUUGGGGGAUAACCUCGGGAAACCGGGGCUAAUACCGCAUGAGAUCGAGAGAUGAAAGCAGGGGACCGCAAGGCCUUGCGCGAGAGGAGCGGCCGAUGCCGGAUUAGCUAGUUGGUGGGGUAACGGCCUACCAAGGCGACGAUCCGUAGCUGGUCUGAGAGGACGACCAGCCACACUGGGACUGUGACACGGCCCAGACUCCUACGGGAGGCAGCACGUGGGGAAUUUUGGACAAUGGGGGCAACCCUGAUCCAGCCAUGCCGCGUGUGUGAAGAAGGUCUUAGGAUUGUAAAAUCCUUUCAGCGGGGACGAUAAUGACGGUACCCGCAGAAGAAGCCCCGGCUAACUUCGUGCCAGCAGCCGCGGU